AUCAAGGGACUUACAACUUCACUUGUAAGAAAUUGUACUGAGGUACAAAAUGGAUUGGGUGAUCUAUUUGACAACUACCAAGAUGAGUAAUAAAGCACUAAUAAUUGCAGUGUUAAUUUUAGUAUUAUGUAGCACAACUAGUCAAACAACAUCAGCGACAAUAACACCAGCAUCAACAACUCCAGCUGAAUCUACAACUGCAACUCCACUUCCAACUACUGGCUCUUCUACAGAAAUGACACAAACAACUGAACCUACAACUGUGGUUACGACAAACUCACCUACAACUGAACCUCCACUUCCAACUACUGCCUCUUCUACAGAAACGACACAAACAACUGAACCUACAACUGUGGUAACGACAAACUCACCUACAACUG
rnacentral:lncRNA from 1 species